GAAUGAAUGGGUCAACUGGAUAGCUUGUCAAAUGGGUAAAGGGGACGUCAAUAGCGUUAAAGGUUGUUCUGCCUUAGACGCUAAGGUCUGACCGAGUCAGGCAUGCCGGCCCGAUUAAAUUUGGGGAGUUUUGUCUUAGACUUGACUAUGAAGG